rnacentral:rRNA from 1 species
GAUGAACGCUGGCGGCGUGCCUAAUACAUGCAAGUCGAGCGAACGGACGAGAAGCUUGCUCCUCUGACGUUAGCGGCGGACGGGUGAGUAACACGUGGAUAACCUACCUAUAAGACUGGGAUAACUUCGGGAAACCGGAGCUAAUACCGGAUAAUAUUUUGAACCGCAUGGUUCAAUAGUGAAAGACGGUCUUGCUGUCACUUAUAGAUGGAUCCGCGCCGCAUUAGCUAGUUGGUAAGGUAACGGCUUACCAAGGCAACGAUGCUUAGCCGACCUGAGAGGGUGAUCGGCCACACUGGAACUGAGACACGGUCCAGACUCGUACGGGAGGCAGCAGUAGGGAAUCUUCCGCAAGGGGGGAAAGCCUGACGGAGCAACGACGCGUGAGUGAUGAAGGUCUUCGGAUCGUAAAACUCUGUUAUUAGGGAAGAACAAAUGUGUAAGUAACUAUGCACGUCUUGACGGUACCUAAUCAGAAAGCCACGGCUAACUACGUG